GUGUGCUGUCAUCUUUUCGCUUCAAUGUUCAUCCUUUGAUUCAAAUAUAUUCCCAAAUUAGAGAGCCAUAUAUUGAAUCUGUCUGAAUAUGGUAGCUGCGAUUUAUUGCGAGACAGUGUCCACGUCACAUCAGCAGCAGCCAGGCCCAACAAUGAGCUAUGGUGCUACAAAUGCCUUGCUGAAGUCCCUGAAGACAAAUGCGCGGAUUUACGCCAAAACAAUUCUACGCUCAUACACAAGUGCCAUAACGACCGAAGAAUGUGCAUGGUAAAACGAUUUUCCUACACGACAUCCACAGAAAACUCAACUACUGCUUUAAAAAUGUGGGCACUUGAGCGCAACUGUACAAAACAUUGCGAGCCGGGCUGCAUCGUGAUUGGGGAACGGACAAAGUUAUACGCCUGCACAUCAUGCUGUACCACGUCUCUUUGCAAUUUCGGAUCCGGCGCAGAAAAAUUAUUGAAAAGUUUUACAGCUCUUACAAUGGCACUAGGAUUAACAUUAUUAUGAUUCGGGCGAAUUUGUUUACUUUAAAUAUGUCUAGUCAAAUAUGAAAAUUAUAUUUAUUUCCGAUAAAAAUAUCGGUUGUGUUACUUGUGUAUCUUCUCAGUAAUUUUAAUUGAAUAAAAUGCAUAUCUUUUAAAAUAUGUAGAUAUAAUGAAAUUAAUAAAUUGAAUAUACCUAUGAAGACGUGACAAGCGACAAAAAUAACUCACCUUUUCCAAAUUAUCUUCUAUUAGCUUUUUCCAUAUUUUAAUAAUUAAAACUUAAUUGAAGGCAUAAAAACGUAGCUAAACGUACGAAUUCGUAACGCGGAACAAACUUCAAUAUUAAGAUAUGUAAGUAGUCAUAGUAACUCUUAAAACCUCCUAUAUUUUUCACAUAAUAGUUUACUCUUCAUUAAAACUACCAUUGCCUACUAUUUUAAUUGUAUACUUUUGUUACAAUUUAUAAAUAAGUUUAUUGAUUUAAAAUUAUUUAUGUGGAAUUAUCCAAAAAUAAGUACUUCUUUAUGUUUGAUUAAGUACUUCGUAAAUAAUAGAAUUUCAAUAAAUUAUCGAUUCCUGUUUUUACUUAUAGUUAUUGGACUGUGUAUAUUUAAAACAAAAUAAAUUACG
rnacentral:misc_RNA from 1 species